AGUGAACGCUGGCGGUAGGCCUAACACAUGCAAGUCGAACGGCAGCACAGUAAGAUCUUGCCCUUACGGGUGGCGAGUGACGGGCGGGUGAGGCAUACAUAGGAAUCUACUUCUUCGGGGGGGAUAACGGAGGGAAACUUACGAUAAUACCGCAUACGACCUACGGGAGAAAGCAGGGGAUCUUCAGACCUUGCGCGACUGAAUGAGCCGAUGUCGGAUUAGCUAGUUGGCGGGGUAACGGCACACCAAGGCGACGAUCCGUAGCCGGCCUGAGAGGAUGAUCGGCCACACUGGAACUGAGACACGGUCCAGACUCCUACGGGAGGCAGCAGUGGGGAAUAUUGGGCAAUGGGCGCAAGCCUGACCCAGCCAUACCGCGUGGGUGAUGGAGGUCUUCGGGUUGUAAAGCCCUUUUGUUGGGAAAGAACAGCUGCGGGUUUAUCUCCCGCUGUUUUGACGGUACCCAAAGAGUAAGCACCGGCUAACUUCGUG
rnacentral:rRNA from 1 species